GACGUAGGGCGCGAGCGUUGUCCGGAUUUAUUGGGCGUAAAGAGCUCGUAGGCGCCUGUCGCGUCGACCGUGAAAACCCGCAGCUCAACUGCGGGCUUGCGGUCGAUACGGGCAGGCUGGAGUCCGGAAGAGGAGAGUGGAAUUCCUGGUGUAGCGGUGAAAUGCGCAGAUAUCAGGAAGAACACCCGUGGCUAAGGCGGCUCUCUAGUACGGUACUGACGCUGAGACGCGAAAGCGUGGGGAGCGAACAGG
rnacentral:rRNA from 1 species